rnacentral:pre_miRNA from 1 species
AUAAUACUCCCUCCAUCCCAAAAUUCUUGUCUUAGAUUUGUCUAAAUACGGAUGUAUCAAGUCACAUUUUAGUAUUAGAUACAUCCGUAUCUAGAAAAAUCUAAGACAAGAAUUUUGGGAUGGAGGGAGUACUCA